rnacentral:rRNA from 1 species
UACGUAGGGUGCAAGCGUUAAUCGGAAUUACUGGGCGUAAAGCGCGCGUAGGUGGUUCGUUAAGUUGGAUGUGAAAGCCCCGGGCUCAACCUGGGAACUGCAUUCAAAACUGACGAGCUAGAGUAUGGUAGAGGGUGGUGGAAUUUCCUGUGUAGCGGUGAAAUGCGUAGAUAUAGGAAGGAACACCAGUGGCGAAGGCGACCACCUGGACUGAUACUGACACUGAGGUGCGAAAGCGUGGGGAGCAAACAGG